GGGUCAGUAGGUUGGUCGUGCCACCGGUACGUACUGGUCUCACUGAUUCCUCCUUCCUGAAGAACCGUAAUGCCAUGAAUUUGGUGUUGCGGGGAAUCAGGACUGUUACUUUGAAAAAAUUAGAGUGUUUAAAGCAAGCUAACGCUUGAAUACAUUAGCAUGGAAUAAUGAAAUAGGACGAUCGAUCCUAUUUUGUUGGUUUCUAGGAUUGACGUA
rnacentral:rRNA from 1 species